GAUGAACGCUAGCGGCAGGCUUAACACAUGCAAGUCGAGGGGCAGCAUAAACAUUGCUUGCAAUGUUUGAUGGCGACCGGCGCACGGGUGCGUAACGCGUAUGCAACCUACCUGUAACAGGGGGAUAACACUGAGAAAUUGGUACUAAUACCCCGUAACAUCAAAGAGGGCAUCCUUUUUGGUUGAAAGUUCCGGCGGUUACAGAUGGGCAUGCGUUGUAUUAGCUAGAUGGUGAGGUAACGGCCCACCAAGUCUGCGAUCCAUAGCCGGACUGAGAGGUUGAACGGCCACAUUGGAACUGAGACACGGCCCAGACUCCUACGGGAGGCAGCAGUGGGGAAUAUUGCGCAAUGGGGGCAACCCUGACGCAGCAACGCCGCGUGCAGGAAGAAGGUCUUCGGGAUUGUAAACUGUUGUCGCAAGGGAA
rnacentral:rRNA from 1 species